ACAAACCACUCCAGAUUGGUAUGUGGUAGUUUUAAUAAGCAAGAAGACUUUCAAGGCUGGCUUGUUUUGGGCAGCCAUGGGCUAAGAUAUUGAAUCCUUUGACUUCUCAAAUCAGUAGCAGACCUCCCGAUUCUGGAACUGCAUAUAAUUAUCUGCAACGAAAUGCACACACAGA